rnacentral:rRNA from 1 species
GACGAACGCUGGCGGCGUGCUUAACACAUGCAAGUCGAACGGAAAGGCCCUGCUUUUGUGGGGUGCUCGAGUGGCGAACGGGUGAGUAACACGUGAGUAACCUGCCCUUGACUUUGGGAUAACUUCAGGAAACUGGGGCUAAUACCGGAUAGGAGCUCCUGCUGCAUGGUGGUGGUUGGAAAGUUUCGGCGGUUGGGGAUGGACUCGCGGGUUAUCAGCUUGUUGGUGGGGUAGUGGCUUACCAAGGCGUUGACGGGUCGCCGGGCUGAGAGGGUGACCGGCCACAUUGGGACGGAGAGACGGCCCAGACUCCGACGGGAGGCAGCAGUGGGGAAUAUUGCACAAUGGGCGGAAGCCUGAUGCAGCAACGCGGCGGGCGGGAUGACGGCCUGCGGGUUGUAAACCGCUUUCGCCUGUGACGAAGCGUGAGUGACGGUAAUGGGUAAAGAAGCACCGGCUAACUACGCG